GUCCCUGUAGUGCAAUGGAUUGCGCAUUGGACUUCUAAUUCAAAGGACGUGAGUUCGAAUCCCACCUGGGAUG
rnacentral:tRNA from 1 species